AUUGAACGCUGGCGGCAGGCCUAACACAUGCCAGUCGAGCGGAUGAAGGGAGCUUGCUCCUGGAUUCAGCGGCGGACGGGUGAGUAAUGCCUAGGAAUCUGCCUGGUAGUGGGGGAUAACGUCCGGAAACGGGCGCUAAUACCGCAUACGUCCUGAGGGAGAAAGUGGGGGAUCUUCGGACCUCACGCUAUCAGAUGAGCCUAGGUCGGAUUAGCUAGUUGGUGGGGUAAAGGCCUACCAAGGCGACGAUCCGUAACUGGUCUGAGAGGAUGAUCAGUCACACUGGAACUGAGACACGGUCCAGACUCCUACGGGAGGCAGCAGUGGGGAAUAUUGGACAAUGGGCGAAAGCCUGAUCCAACCAUGCCGCGUGUGUGAAGAAGGUCUUCGGAUUGUAAAGCACUUUAAGUUGGGAGGAAGGGCAGUAAGUUAAUACCUUGCUGUUUUGACGUUACCAACAGGAUAAGCACCGGCUAACUUCGUG
rnacentral:rRNA from 1 species